UGCCCUGAUAGUAUAAACAUUACCCUGGUUUUGUAAACCAAAAAUGAAGAUAUAUUCUUCUCAAGGCAUC
rnacentral:tRNA from 1 species